rnacentral:rRNA from 1 species
GACGAACGCUGGCGGCGUGCUUAACACAUGCAAGUCGAACGGAGUGGGGAACGGGUGAGUAACACGUGUGUGAUCUGCCUUGCACUUCGGGAUAAGCUUGGGAAACUGGGUCUAAUACCGGAUAGUGCAAGAUGAGCUCGCGGCUUAUCCGUUUUUUGGUGGGGUAAUGGCCUACCCAGGCGUCGACGGGUAGCCGGCCUGAGAGCGUGUACGGGGACAUUGGGACUGGGAGACGGCACAGGGGGCUACUGGAGGCAGCAGGGGGGAAUAGUGUCCAAUCGGCGGAAGGCUGACACAGCGACGGCGGGGGGGUGAUGAACGCUUUCGGGUUGUAAACUCCUUUCGACAGGGACGCGGAACCUGUAGAAGAAGCCCCGGCUAACUACGUGCCAGCAGCCGCGGUAAUUC